rnacentral:rRNA from 1 species
CAGGGGUUUUCCGUUGGGUGAACCUGCGGAAGGUCAUUA